rnacentral:lncRNA from 1 species
UUCAACCAUUUCGUCCUCCCUCUCGUAUCUUGCUUGAGAUAGCAUGUCUGCUACUAAAUUGUCCUUUCCAGUGAUAUGCUUAAAUUCUGGAUUUAGUGACUUAAUAUAAGCAAUCCAUCUCAACAUUGCAAUAUCUGGCGUUGAACAGUUAAUAAUCAUUUCAAGCAAUGACAAGCAAUCUGUUUCAAUUACUACUACUGCCC